rnacentral:rRNA from 1 species
UUAAGCGACUAAGCGUACACGGUGGAUGCCCUGGCAGUCAGAGGCGAUGAAGGACGUGCUAAUCUGCGAUAAGCGUCGGUAAGGUGAUAUGAACCGUUAUAACCGGCGAUUUCCGAAUGGGGAAACCCAGUGUGAUUCGUCACACUAUCAUUAACUGAAUCCAUAGGUUAAUGAGGCGAACCGGGGGAACUGAAACAUCUAAGUACCCCGAGGAAAAGAAAUCAACCGAGAUUCCCCCAGUAGCGGCGAGCGAACGGGGAGGAGCCCAGAGCCUGAAUCAGUGUGUGUGUUAGUGGAAGCGUCUGGAAAGGCGCGCGAUACAGGGUGACAGCCCCGUACACAAAAUGCACAUGCUGUGAGCUCGAUGAGUAGGGCGGGACACGUGGUAUCCUGUCUGAAUAUGGGGGACCAUCCUCCAAGGCUAAAUACUCCUGACUGACCGAUAGUGAACCAGUACCGUGAGGGAAAGGCGAAAAGAACCCCGGCGAGGGGAGUGAAAAAGAACCUGAAACCGUGUACGUACAAGCAGUGGGAGCCUCUUUUAUGGGGUGACUGCGUACCUUUUGUAUAAUGGGUCAGCGACUUAUAUUCUGUAGCAAGGUUAACCGAAUAGGGGAGCCGAAGGGAAACCGAGUCUUAACUGGGCGUUAAGUUGCAGGGUAUAGACCCGAAACCCGGUGAUCUAGCCAUGGGCAGGUUGAAGGUUGGGUAACACUAACUGGAGGACCGAACCGACUAAUGUUGAAAAAUUAGCGGAUGACUUGUGGCUGGGGGUGAAAGGCCAAUCAAACCGGGAGAUAGCUGGUUCUCCCCGAAAGCUAUUUAGGUAGCGCCUCGUGAAUUCAUCUCCGGGGGUAGAGCACUGUUUCGGCAAGGGGGUCAUCCCGACUUACCAACCCGAUGCAAACUGCGAAUACCGGAGAAUGUUAUCACGGGAGACACACGGCGGGUGCUAACGUCCGUCGUGAAGAGGGAAACAACCCAGACCGCCAGCUAAGGUCCCAAAGUCAUGGUUAAGUGGGAAACGAUGUGGGAAGGCCCAGACAGCCAGGAUGUUGGCUUAGAAGCAGCCAUCAUUUAAAGAAAGCGUAAUAGCUCACUGGUCGAGUCGGCCUGCGCGGAAGAUGUAACGGGGCUAAACCAUGCACCGAAGCUGCGGCAGCGACACUGUGUGUUGUUGGGUAGGGGAGCGUUCUGUAAGCCUGUGAAGGUGUACUGUGAGGUAUGCUGGAGGUAUCAGAAGUGCGAAUGCUGACAUAAGUAACGAUAAAGCGGGUGAAAAGCCCGCUCGCCGGAAGACCAAGGGUUCCUGUCCAACGUUAAUCGGGGCAGGGUGAGUCGACCCCUAAGGCGAGGCCGAAAGGCGUAGUCGAUGGGAAACAGGUUAAUAUUCCUGUACUUGGUGUUACUGCGAAGGGGGGACGGAGAAGGCUAUGUUGGCCGGGCGACGGUUGUCCCGGUUUAAGCGUGUAGGCUGGUUUUCCAGGCAAAUCCGGAAAAUCAAGGCUGAGGCGUGAUGACGAGGCACUACGGUGCUGAAGCAACAAAUGCCCUGCUUCCAGGAAAAGCCUCUAAGCAUCAGGUAACAUCAAAUCGUACCCCAAACCGACACAGGUGGUCAGGUAGAGAAUACCAAGGCGCUUGAGAGAACUCGGGUGAAGGAACUAGGCAAAAUGGUGCCGUAACUUCGGGAGAAGGCACGCUGAUAUGUAGGUGAAGUCCCUCGCGGAUGGAGCUGAAAUCAGUCGAAGAUACCAGCUGGCUGCAACUGUUUAUUAAAAACACAGCACUGUGCAAACACGAAAGUGGACGUAUACGGUGUGACGCCUGCCCGGUGCCGGAAGGUUAAUUGAUGGGGUCAGCGCAAGCGAAGCUCUUGAUCGAAGCCCCGGUAAACGGCGGCCGUAACUAUAACGGUCCUAAGGUAGCGAAAUUCCUUGUCGGGUAAGUUCCGACCUGCACGAAUGGCGUAAUGAUGGCCAGGCUGUCUCCACCCGAGACUCAGUGAAAUUGAACUCGCUGUGAAGAUGCAGUGUACCCGCGGCAAGACGGAAAGACCCCGUGAACCUUUACUAUAGCUUGACACUGAACAUUGAGCCUUGAUGUGUAGGAUAGGUGGGAGGCUUUGAAGUGUGGACGCCAGUCUGCAUGGAGCCGACCUUGAAAUACCACCCUUUAAUGUUUGAUGUUCUAACGUGGACCCGUGAUCCGGGUUGCGGACAGUGUCUGGUGGGUAGUUUGACUGGGGCGGUCUCCUCCUAAAGAGUAACGGAGGAGCACGAAGGUUGGCUAAUCCUGGUCGGACAUCAGGAGGUUAGUGCAAUGGCAUAAGCCAGCUUGACUGCGAGCGUGACGGCGCGAGCAGGUGCGAAAGCAGGUCAUAGUGAUCCGGUGGUUCUGAAUGGAAGGGCCAUCGCUCAACGGAUAAAAGGUACUCCGGGGAUAACAGGCUGAUACCGCCCAAGAGUUCAUAUCGACGGCGGUGUUUGGCACCUCGAUGUCGGCUCAUCACAUCCUGGGGCUGAAGUAGGUCCCAAGGGUAUGGCUGUUCGCCAUUUAAAGUGGUACGCGAGCUGGGUUUAGAACGUCGUGAGACAGUUCGGUCCCUAUCUGCCGUGGGCGCUGGAGAACUGAGGGGGGCUGCUCCUAGUACGAGAGGACCGGAGUGGACGCAUCACUGGUGUUCGGGUUGUCAUGCCAAUGGCACUGCCCGGUAGCUAAAUGCGGAAGAGAUAAGUGCUGAAAGCAUCUAAGCACGAAACUUGCCCCGAGAUGAGUUCUCCCUGACCCUUUAAGGGUCCUGAAGGAACGUUGAAGACGACGACGUUGAUAGGCCGGGUGUGUAAGCGCAGCGAUGCGUUGAGCUAACCGGUACUAAUGAACCGUGAGGCUUAACCUU